ensembl:lncRNA
CACUCUGAGUCAGGCCUAGGUCAAAAGGUCAACAACGUAAAACCCAGUUCCGAUACAUUCCCGAGCACAAACACACCCCACACACACACUAGCAUGCAUACGAACCUGUUCAUAAAGUCGAGCACUUCGAAAGUUUUAACAUCGGAAAAGGUUCGACCGAAUUUCCAGAGUCUAUUCUUCACUACUUCCAGAAUCAAACACUUCGAAAGUUUGAACAUCGGCAAAGUUCAACAGAAUUUCCAGAGUCUAUCCUUCACUACUUCCAGACACCAUGGAUUUCUCGGCAGACAGCUUGGUGAUUAUUUCUGAUGAUGAGAUUCCCGAAACAACCACUCAUGGCCUUUUGAAUCUGAGCUCCACACAAUUUGAGGGAAACGUGACUAACAGUGAUUACGACGGAGAUAUUUCAGAUACGAGUGAUGCAAUAGAAGACCAAGAGGAGAUCAUCUCGGAAACCGACAUUCACAAGACAUCGAACUACAACGGAUCUGCGCAGUGUGGCGUGAAUUCUUCGAAGCAAGACUGAUUUAUUGGAAAACUUUGGACAGAUUGAUUAUACACUUGAAUCUGGUCGAGGUACAGAUUUUAUCCCUUUACUGUAUAGCACGCUUGAAAAUGUGAAUAGAACCAGAUUUCGCUGCACUGUGUUUCGGUAUCAACCGGUGACGACACACCCGAUCACAAAGAGAUCAUAAUUAUUGUUGCAUGUUCUUUACCAUAUAGCUUUCCCAUGAAUACCAACUCAACCCACUAUCCCCCCCAUCAGGUUGUUGGUUGUUUUCCCUGAGUCAGGCCUUGGUCAAAAAGGUCUAUGAUAAUUAUUGACACACACACACACACAUAUACGAACCUGUCUAUAAAAGCGAACACUUCGUUAGUUGGAAAAUUGGAAAAAUCAGCAAAGAGUCGAAUAGUUCGAAGGGAUCGACAGAAUUUCCAGACUCUAUCCUUCAAAACUUCCAGACACCAUGGAUUUCUCAGCAGAGCAAGACCGAACUAAGCUCGUCUGAUUCUAGUGUAUAGGAUAACGUAUCAAACGAAUGCGAGUCUACAAGAUAACAGUGCCGUCAUAAUUUCUGACGAUGAAAUUUCCGAGACAUCUGAUCGAAGCCUUUUGAAUCUGAGCUCUACACCACAAAUGAAAAUCCCUCUCUAGACGAGCAGAUUUGUCAGAUGAAACCUUUUCCUUCUUAUCCACUGCUACGGUAAACUAAAGAGUAGAUUUUCAAAUUACACUGCUAAAUAUGACUAGCAUUAGCUACGUGUAGUAGUGCAAAAAUAGUCCAUCAACUGUAUUAGCAGGUGUAGCCUAUACACGAGUCCACUGCUGGUCAUAUCACUAUUGAGAACGUGUCCCAAAUUCACUGCUUUAGUAGAAUUUAAUUGUAAGUGAAAUGAUGCUCACACUGUAAUGUCCUUUGUAUUUGUUCAGUCCACAGGUCCUCUAACACUCUGUUAAAUGAAUAAAUGUAAAUGUACUACAACGUAGAUUUUGUUUUAAAUCAAUUAAUGCAGAAAUUACACACAAUAUUAUCAACAUUAUUAUGUCAACACAACUCAUCAAAAUAAUGUGUACAACUUUAAAUAUUUAAUGAAUUCAAUAAAUUAGAAUUUUUAUCUUGCAACCACACAUUAAAUUUAGAUUGUGGGGGUUUGCUUUGUAUAGCGCCGCUGUUAGAAAAUACAUGAUGGUUGAACGUGAACAUAAAUGAGCAGAAUGUAAGCUUGUGAAAUAAAUGAAACUUUAUUGAUUGCAGUUUUGAGAAAAUGGCAUGACUUUGAAUAAAAAUUUACUGAAAUAAAUACUCUAAAACAUUGAUAUACCCGAAGAAAUGUAAAAAAAAAAAAAAAAAAAAAAAAAAAAAGUUUUUACAUACCUUCUAAAUAGGUCCCUUCAGGAGGUAAACGUUUUAAAGACGGUGUUUUAUAAGAAACGCGCGUAUUACAUGCCUUCUAAACCUAACCCUUUAGGAUGUGAAAUGUUUAAAGUGUUGCUUAAAAGAAUCGAGAGUUUUGUUUAAACUAGAAGACACAUUUUUCGGGCGAUGUCUUGUAGGCCCAUACACACUCUCCUACACAUGUGUUUUCCCGGGGUGACAGUUCUGUAGAUAGUGUAAAUUUUACAUUUAUGAGCUCUGGUGACAGUGUCUGAAGUGUGUGUGUAUGUGGGUGUGGGGGUGUGCGUGCGUGUGUGUGGGUGUGUUAGAAAGAGAGAGAGAGAGAGAGAAGAGAGAGAGAGAGAGAGAGAGAGAGAGAGAGAGAGAGAGAGAGAGAGUGAGUCAUGUGUUUCCUGGGGGUUUGCUGACCAGACUGCUUACAGUGUGUUUAUGUUAAUGAAAUAAGGGAUGAGUCGUGUGUUUCAGGGUUUAACGAUCCCUACCAAUGUGUACAUUUGUGGUUUAAGUGAAUCUUUGUUUCUGAAAUUACUUCUGUCGUAAUUAUCAGUUCGUGUAACUAAUCUAUCAGAAAAUACUAGACCUGGUGACUGAAUGUGGUAGAUGUAUUAGAAUUUUGGACAUGUUAUGCAUGUGUAGCGUAUACCUGUGUACCCUAUGUGUAUGAUCUAUGUGUAAUCCUUCUGUCAAGAGAUGAACAGACUGAGGUUUGUGAAAUAAUUGAACGAUU